CUGUAAAACGCGGUUUGGACCCCGGCUAGAUACCUGCUCUUUCUUACUAUAAAGAAGAGACUGCCAAUGUGAAAACAUCUUAAAAAUUAUACGAAUUAAGUUUGUAUCCAAGGAAAUUUGGGGCACAAGCCUUAAAUCUGGGCAGUCCAAGCUCACUCAACCAUCACAUCUUGUUUACCGCCUUUGUAAGCGUCCCAAUUAAACCCAAAGAGGGGGGUUAGUGUCCAGAAACAACUUGUCUCAUAUACAUCAGGUCGAAGUGCAGUCAAUGAAAAGGAGCUGAUGGGUUACAACCUAAAAAAAGACAUGAAUUAAGAAAUAAAAAAUUUUAUGAAAGUGGACUUGACUGUAAUUAAACAGCAUAUUAAAAAAAUGAAAACAAAUCUAAGACAUGUACACAUCGCCCGCACUCUAGCGAAUUAUUG
rnacentral:rRNA from 1 species